UAGUGGCGGACGGGUGAGUAACGCGUGGGAAUCUGCCCUCAGGAGGGGGAUAACGGUUGGAAACGACCGCUAAUACCCCAUAUGCCGAGAGGUGAAACGAAAUUCGCCUGAGGAUGAGCCCGCGUCUGAUUAGCUAGUUGGUGGGGUAAAGGCCUACCAAGGCAUCGAUCAGUAGCUGGUCUGAGAGGAUGAUCAGCCACACUGGGACUGAGACACGGCCCAGACUCCUACGGGAGGCAGCAGUGGGGAAUUUUCCGCAAUGGGCGCAAGCCUGACGGAGCAACGCCGCGUGAGGGAUGAAGGCCUCUGGGCUGUAAACCUCUUUUCUCAAGGAAGAAGAACUGACGGUACUUGAGGAAUAAGCCACGGCUAA
rnacentral:rRNA from 1 species